UGUGGAGCCGUCCUUGAAAUACCACCCUUGUAGUGUUGAUGUUCUAACGUCGACCCCUUAUCGGGGUUACGGACAGUGCCUGGUGGGUAGUUUGACUGGGGCGGUCUCCUCCCAAAGAGUAACGGAGGAGCACGAAGGUGGGCUAAUCACGGUUGGACAUCGUGAGGUUAGUGCAAUGGCAUAAGCCCGCUUGACUGCGAGAAUGACAAUUCGAGCAGGUGCGAAAGCAGGUCAUAGUGAUCCGGUGGUUCUGAAUGGAAGGGCCAUCGCUCAACGGAUAAAAGGUACUCCGGGGAUAACAGGCUGAUACCGCCCAAGAGUUCAUAUCGACGGCGGUGUUUGGCACCUCGAUGUCGGCUCAUCACAUCCUGGGGCUGAAGUCGGUCCCAAGGGUAUGGCUGUUCGCCAUUUAAAGUGGUACGCGAGCUGGGUUUAGAACGUCGUGAGACAGUUCGGUCCCUAUCUGCCGUGGGCGUUGGAAGAUUGAAGGGGGCUGCUCCUAGUACGAGAGGACCGGAGUGGACGAACCUCUGGUGUUCGGGUUGUGUCGCCAGACGCAUUGCCCGGUAGCUAAGUUCGGAAUCGAUAACCGCUGAAAGCAUCUAAGCGGGAAGCGAGCCCUGAGAUGAGUCUUCCCUGAUACUUUAAGUAUCCUAAAGGGUUGUCGGAGACUACGACGUUGAUAGGUCAGGUGUGUAAGUGCUGUGAGGCAUUGAGCUAACUGAUACUAAUUGCCCGUGAGGCUUAACCAUACAACACCCAAGGGGUUU
rnacentral:rRNA from 1 species